GCAUUAGGCCAUAUGAUUAUUCAACUUUCCCUUCAUUACCAGAAGGCAGUGUGAAUAUAUUUGGUGUUUGCAGGAAAGUUCAAUAUCUUUUUGUAAUUCUUAUUAAUUUUCUUUCUUUUUGAGCAGAGGGAAAUGGCACUGUGACCCAGUCUCCAGAUCCCCAUUGGCAUAACAAUCAAACUGUUGAGGCACUGGCACAAGAAACAUGGAUGAGCACCAACAAGGGAGUCUACAUUGGAAUCUCGGUUACUAUUUUGGCACUGUUGGUCACGUUUGUGGUUUUCUGGAUUAGGAGAAGAUAUUUUUGCCUGGGUAGCAAGGUGGAGCUACUACGUGUGAUUCCAUUGAAAGAUUCUCGCAUUGGAGCUUUGAAAAAUGCAGCUCUGAAGCCUAUCCAAGCAGAAGACAAUGUCUACAUUAUUGAUGACUAUCACUAAGUCCUGGAUCCAGAUUCUAAAUUGUUAUGCCCUUGAUGGUAGAAAACAGUGACCAGAUACCAUGUCAGAGUCCUCUGAAUCAGCUGCUGAAUUUUUCAGUCAGUUUCCCAUGGCAUUCCUAUGAGUCAGGGACACUGGGUAGAGUGAUGCUAGGUUGACUGUGAAAAGUCAACCUCUGUCACAGAGUCCUAAUUUUUUAUACUAAAUUGGCUCAAACUUGCUGAUCGUUGCAGAGGUCUCUUCAAAACAUGAAACAUACUUCUUAGAAUUGUACAUUCUCUUUAGACCUCAUGAAUCCUGUUUUCCAUCAAGAAUUCUCAUUGGGAAAAUAGGAAAAAAUACUUCUAUCUCAGUUGCCAAGGCUGUCAAGAUUACCUGAAUACAACUUAGAAUCAGGACAUCUAUUCUGGAACUUAGAGGACUUAACAAGCAAGCACUUCAUGCUUGUCCUUUUUUUUUUUUUUUUAAAUCAAGUGAUUCCAAAUGUGAUAUUGCUUAGGGUCCCCAAAGUUUCAAAUCAUGGUGUGUACAGGUUUUUAUUUACCCAAUAGAAAAAUGGCAGUGAGUGUAAUUUUUCCAUUAUAGACAAAUUUGUUUUCUCAGGGUCCUGGAAAUACAAGGCAUUAAAUGCUUUCUUUGGGAGAAGGAUGGUAUUUUAGCAGUUAGAAGAAGCAAUGGUAUUGAGUAGACCAUGAAGACACCAGGAGAAGAAAAUCAAUAGCCAUAUAAUUUACGAUACUUUUGCUACAUCAGUGCCACAGUUCUAGAUGCUUAUGUUGACAACUGGAGGCCUCUGAUUUUUAGAACGAGGCAGGGCAGAAAUAAAUACAAGGAAAAAAGAGAGGGAAGGAGUAGGAAAGAAGCUUUCUGUUUUAUAAAGUAGAGCUUGCAAAUAUAAUAGUAUUGUUUGAUAGUGUUACCAAUUUCUACAAAAUGCUAAAUUGUCCUCAAACCAUUGAGGACAAUGUCCAAAAUGCUAAAUUGUCC
rnacentral:lncRNA from 1 species